UAAUACGUAGGGUGCGAGCGUUGUCCGGAAUUAUUGGGCGUAAAGAGCUCGUAGGCGGUGUGUCACGUCGUUCGUGAAAACCUGCAGCUUAACUGUGGGCGUGCGGUCGAUACGGGCAUCACUGGAGUUCGGCAGGGGAGACUGGAAUUCCUGGUGUAGCGGUGAAAUGCGCAGAUAUCAGGAGGAACACCGGUGGCGAAGGCGGGUCUCUGGGCCGAUACUGACGCUGAGGAGCGAAAGCGUGGGGAGCAAACAGGAUUAGAUACCCUGGUAGUCCACGCCGUAAACGGUGGGCACUAGGUGUGGGGGCCAUUCCACGGUCUCUGUGCCGCAGCUAACGCAUUAAGUGCCCCGCCUGGGGAGUACGGCCGCAAGGCUA
rnacentral:rRNA from 1 species